AGGAUUCCCCGAGUAGCGGCGAGCGAAACGGGAAGAGCCCAGCGCUGAAUCCUGCCGCCCGGGCGGGCGGCCGGGAAAUGUAGCGUUCGGUGGGAGAGUUAAAUUUUAUACGCGCGGUCAUUAGUCACGGCUGCCAGUCCAAGUUCAUCUUGAACGGGGCCGCUUACCCGCAGAGGGUGCCAGGCCCGUGGUGACGGUAGCCGGCCGCGACGGUCUCCCCACCAAGAGUCGGGUUGCUUGAGAGUGCAGCCCUAAGUGGGUGGUAAACUCCAUCUAAGGCUAAAUACCACCACGAGACCGAUAGCGAACAAGUACCGUGAGGGAAAGUUGAAAAGAACUUUGAAGAGAGAGUUAAAGAGUACGUGAAACCGUUCAGGGGUAAACCUGCGGAACUCGAACGGACGAACGGGGAGAUUCAUCGCUCUUCCGCCGGUGGCCCGCGCGCCGCGCGUGCACCGCCCUCUCGGCGACCGUUCGCGGUCGUCGUCGGGGCGGGCCGCCGGCCGCGCCGUCUGGCCCCCGGAGCGCGUGCACUUCUCCCUUAGUAUGACACCGCGACCCGUCGCGCUGCCGUCGAACGCGCCGUGCGGCAGACCCGUCCCCGCUCCGCGGGGCGGAGCCGCGGCGUUCUUGCGGCGGCAGUCUCGCUUGUUCAGCGACGGUAACGAACGAGGAUCGGGCGCGUCCGGCUCCGGCCGCAGACGUCCGUCGCGCCUCAGCGGCGAACCGUCGCGUCGGCCCCGUCGCCCAGAGCGUCGAGGGAUCGGCGCGCGGGUCGUCCGCGGUUAGAGGCGCGCUCACGGACCGCGCCCGUCCCGGUCAGCGGUGGUUUUGUUUCGGGCACUCGCAGGACCCGUCUUGAAACACGGACCAAGGAGUCUAGCAUGCGCGCGAGUCAUCGGGACAUCCGAAUAAACCCGGGGGCGAAAUGAAAGUGAAAGGCGGCGCCUCGCGCGCCGCCCCGAGGGAAGAUGCGCGGGCGCCCGCAAGGCGCCCCGCCGCAUUCCCGAGGCGUUUCGAGAAAGUCUCCGUGCGAUUAUCGAGACGCACUGAGAGCGCGCACGCUGGGACCCGAAAGAUGGUGAACUAUGCCUGGUCAGGUCGAAGUCAGGGGAAACCCUGAUGGAGGACCGAAGCGAUUCUGACGUGCAAAUCGAUCGUCGGAACUGGGUAUAGGGGCGAAAGACUAAUCGAACUAUCUAAUAGCUGGUUCCAUCCGAAGUUUCCCUCAGGAUAGCUGGCGCUCGGGAAACAUGGGCCGCGACGCUCGCGUCCGGCCCAUUCGUACAGUCUCAUCCGGUAAAGCGAAUGAUUAGAGGCAUUGGGGCCGAAAUGGCCUCAACCUAUUCUCAAACUUUAAAUGGGUGAGAUCUCCGUCUUGCUCGAAGAUGAAGUCGGAGCUCGGAUGGGAGUGCCAAGUGGGCCAAUUUUGGUAAGCAGAACUGGCGCUGUGGGAUGAACCAAACGUCGAGUUAAGGCGCCCAACGGACGCUCAUCGGAGACCAUAAAAGGCGUUGGUCGCUCAGGACAGCAGGACGGUGGCCAUGGAAGUCGGAAUCCGCUAAGGAGUGUGUAACAACUCACCUGCCGAAGCAACCAGCCCUGAAAAUGGAUGGCGCUGUAGCGUCCGGCCUAUACUCGACCGUCGCAGGCAAGUGGGUGGCGCGCGCGCCGUUCGCGGUGCGCGCGCCUCUUGAGGCCGCGACGAGUAGGAUGGUCGCGGCGGUGAGCGCAGAAGGGUCUGGGCGCGAGCCCGCCUGGAGCCUCCGUCGGCGCAGAUCUUGGUGGUAGUAGCAAAUACUCAAGCGAGGUCCUUGAGGGCUG
rnacentral:rRNA from 1 species